rnacentral:rRNA from 1 species
GAUGAACGCUGGCGGCGUGCCUAAUACAUGCAAGUCGAGCGAACAGACGAGGAGCUUGCUCCUCUGACGUUAGCGGCGGACGGGUGAGUAACACGUGGAUAACCUACCUAUAAGACUGGGAUAACUUCGGGAAACCGGAGCUAAUACCGGAUAAUAUAUUGAACCGCAUGGUUCAAUAGUGAAAGACGGUUUUGCUGUCACUUAUAGAUGGAUCCGCGCCGCAUUAGCUAGUUGGUAAGGUAACGGCUUACCAAGGCGACGAUGCGUAGCCGACCUGAGAGGGUGAUAGGCCACACUGGAACUGAGACACGGUCCAGACUCCUAAGGGAGGCAGCAGUAGGGAAUCUGCCGCAAUGGGCGAAAGCCUGACGGAGCAACGCCGCGUGAGUGAUGAAGGUCUUCGGAGCGUAAAACUCUGUUAUUAGGGAAGAACAAAUGUGUAAGUAACUAUGCACGUCUUGACGGUACCUAAUCAGAAAGCCACGGCUAACUACGUG